UGUCACUAGGGGUGCCGCGAGGCUGAGACGAACUUACGGUUCGGACCCUUUGAACCUGAUCUGGUUUAUACCAGCGUAGGAAAGUGGAGAAUGA
rnacentral:ncRNA from 1 species